CAGGUGGCGUGGCCAGAGAUCGUCCUUCUGCGAAGGUGACAUGUUAGCCAAAUGUCAGAAGCUGAGAAGGACUGUGUGGCUCCGUGAACUAUAAGAUCUGGAAGUUCAAAGACAGAGACUGUUGAUUUCCCCACUGCUGGACCGAGAAGCAGACCAGUCUACAGUCUCACUGGGAUGCCCGUGUGGCAGGCAGAAGAAUGUGAACAGGUCCUCUUCUCUUUUUCAUUAAAUACUCUCCCUGCAGAGAGGGAUGGACCGGAAGUUUGGGAUCAAAGUUACAAAUGGAUAAACAACAAGAUACUGUUUCUAGCACAGUGUCUGCUUUGUCUGAGAAACAGCAACCCUGGGCAACAAAUCAAAAGGAUGAAAACAGAAGAGCAUACUCUGAACUACAGAAUGUCACCAGACAAUUAUUUUCAGGGACCAGACCAUCUAAUGUCAGGUUUUGAUGAAUUCUUAAUAACAUCUUCGAUGAAAGAAUUGUUUUUCUGUCUAGGAAGGUGCUUUAGUAGUGGUGAAGUGUGUACAGGGUUCAGGAGUCAAAGGUACCAGAAUUGGAAUUCUGGUUCUAUCUUUUCCUGUCUCCCUUACCUUGGGAAAAUAACUGAAACUCUGUGUUUCAGUUUUCUCAUCUGCAAACUAUGGAUGUCAUAGGAUUGUUGUAAGGAUUCUAUAGGACCAUGUAUUAGCAUGCUUGGAACUGUGUUGGGCAUACAGGAUGAGCUCAACAGAGCUUAGAUGCUAUCAUCAUCACCAUUACAAAUACACAGCAGGAUAGGAGGCAGAAGCUUUUUUUCCAGCUUUUUGGGGCCAUACAUGCAGCAUAUGGAAGUUCUCAGGCUAGGGACUGAAUCAGAGCUACAGCUGCUGGCCUACACCACAGCCACAGCAACACCAGAUCUGAGCCGUGUCCGCAAGCUACACCACAGCUCAUGGUAACGCCAGAUCUAUAAACCACUGAGUGGGGCCAGGGAUCCAACCUGCCUCCUCAUGGAUACCAGUUGGGUUCAUUUUUGCGAAGCCAACUUAGGAACUCCAGAAGUUAUCUUUUCAAACCAUGCUAGUAGUCAGUGCUCCGUGCUCCUGCUACUUGUGAAGAAAAUGCUUUUCUUUAUUUAGAAGAGUCAAGAGGCUACAUAAAUGAAUAAAAUCAGGACAAAACAACUUGAAGGAAUGUACCUAAGCAAAAUUCAGGGGAGUGCAGAAAACUUAGGAAGAAACAUCACAUUCUCAGAGGUUGGAUUCUGAAUAAAAUUGUUGGCACAUAUCAGUAUACACUUCAACAUGCCUCUUCCAUGUGUUGUCUUUUCAUCAUGAAGAAAGUUCUUCCUGGGUGAAAAGUAGACACUAAUGCUGCAGCCCUAAAGAGUGUUGACUGCCAAACUCUUCUCUUCUAGGGGCCAAUGUGGACUAUUGGCUCAGAAUGAAAAGCACAGAAACAUCACAGUGACGUGGUUCUUUGCAGUGUUAAACAUGGAUGAGUCAUACCAUCAAGCUGACAAAGACAAACACAACUAUAUCAGGUAGAUCAAGCCCACAGAUAUACUGCUUAUAUCCAGAAAAUAACACCAAGGUAUUCUGGCCUCAAAAUAAAGAACGACUUCCUGGAAAUUAAAAGUAUGAUGAUGAUCAAAAUUAGACAGUAGAAGAGUUGAACGAUGAGGCUGAAAAAAAACCUAGAACAUACAGAGCUUAAAAAACAUAAAGCGAAGAUAAGUAUGAGAAAAUGGAUGCACUAGAUUUAACAGCCAACUCACAGGAGAUUCAUAAAGAGAAAAUUAGAGCUAAUACAGAGGAAGACAUUAUGGGAAGAAUUAAUAAAAAAGAAUUCCCAGAAAUGAAGACUAUUCCUCCUUAAAUUGAAAGGGCUCAUCAAGUAUCCAGUGAAAGUGAACAGGAAGAACCCCACAUUUUUCAAUGCUUCAGAGAAAUUUCAGAACAUCAAGGAUAAAGAGGAUAUCCUCAGAGCUUCAAGAGAGAGAAAAAAAUCACCUACAAAGGAAUGUGUGAAUGACACGGGGCUUCUCGUCAACACUUCUUGAUCCUACAAAGUAGUAGAGGAAAGCCUUUACUAUUAUGAAGGAAAAAUUAUUUGGGGUCUAAACCUCUAUGCCUGCCCCAUCUAUUGUUGAAAUGGGAAAAGAGAAGAAGGAUAUUUUUUUGGACAUGUAAAAACUCAGAAAGUUUACUUCCCAAUUAGCUUUUCUUAGGAAGUUUUCGGGAAUGGACUCUAGGAGACAGACUUGCCAAGGGGUUCUAGAAAUCAGUCAGCAAAGGGUAGGGCAGAAGGACUGAGGAGUACAGAGAAGUAUCUGGAAGUAAAGGAACUUUAUGAAUAGGAUCAGAUGUAUACUGUCCUUGGGAGAACUAGAAAUGCUGGGGAGAGGAGCCUUAAAACCAAAAGGAGUUUUAAGGCUAUGUAGCUAAAUCUUCCUGGAGUAGUCCAUAACUAAAAGGGGGGAACACAGUGUAAUGUAUUCAGGAUUUACAUACAUAACCACUUAUUUGUCUAUAAAGAAGUCUUCCUGAC
ensembl:lncRNA